AGUGAACGCUGGCGGUAGGCCUAACACAUGCAAGUCGAACGGCAGCACAGUAAGAGCUUGCUCUUACGGGUGGCGAGUGGCGGACGGGUGAGGAAUACAUCGGAAUCUACUUUUUCGUGGGGGAUAACGUAGGGAAACUUACGCUAAUACCGCAUACGACCUACGGGUGAAAGCAGGGGAUCUUCGGACCUUGCGCGAUUGAACGAGCCGAUGUCGGAUUAGCUAGUUGGCGGGGUAAAGGCCCACCAAGGCGACGAUCCGUAGCUGGUCUGAGAGGAUGAUCCGCCACAAUGGAACUGAGACACGGUCCCGACUCCUAAGGGAGGCAGCAGUGGGGAAUAUUGGACAAUGGGCGCAAGCCUGAUCCAGCCAUACCGCGUGGGUGAAGAAGGCCUUCGGGUUGUAAAGCCCUUUUGUUGGGAAAGAAAAGCAGCAGGUUAAUACCCCGCUGUUCUGACGGUACCCAAAGAAUAAGCACCGGCUAACUUCGUG
rnacentral:rRNA from 1 species